rnacentral:rRNA from 1 species
UACGUAGGGUGCGAGCGUUGUCCGGAAUUAUUGGGCGUAAAGGGCUCGUAGGCGGUUUGUCGCGUCGGGAGUGAAAUCCACUGGCUUAACUGGUGGCUUGCUUUCGAUACGGGCAGACUGGAGGUGUGCAGGGGAGAACGGAAUUCCUGGUGUAGCGGUGAAAUGCGCAGAUAUCAGGAGGAACACCGGUGGCGAAGGCGGGUCUCUGGGCCGAUACUGACGCUGAGGAGCGAAAGCGUGGGGAGCGAACAGG